GGAUACACUGCGGCGUGCCUAUCAUGCGAGUCGAGCGAACGGACGAGAAGCUUGCUUCUCUGAUGUUAGCGGCGGACGGGUGAGUAACACGUGGAUAACCUACCUAUAAGACUGGGAUAACUUCGGGAAACCGGAGCUAAUACCGGAUAAUAUUUUGAACCGCAUGGUUCAAAAGUGAAAGACGGUCUUGCUGUCACUUAUAGAUGGAUCCGCGCUGCAUUAGCUAGUAGGUAAGGUAACGGCUUACCAAGGCAACGAUGCAUAGCCGACCUGAGAGGGUGAUCGGCCACACUGGAACUGAGACACGGUCCAGACUCCUACUGGAGGCAGCAGUAGGGGAUCUUCCGCAAUGGGCGAAAGCCUGACGGAGCAACGCCGCGUGAGUGAUGAAGGUCUUCGGAUCGUAAAACUCUGUUAUUAGGGAAGAACAUAUGUGUAAGUAACUGUGCACAUCUUGACGGUACCUAAUCAGAAAGCCACGGCUAACUACGUGCCAGCAGCCGCGGUAAU
rnacentral:rRNA from 1 species